rnacentral:rRNA from 1 species
UACAGAGGGGCAAGCGUUGUUCGGAAUUACUGGGCGUAAAGGGCGCGUAGGCGGCCCGCUAAGUCGAACGUGAAAUCCCUGGGCUCAACCCAGGAACUGCGUCCGAUACUGGCGGGCUUGAAUCCGGGAGAGGGAUGCGGAAUUCCAGGUGUAGCGGUGAAAUGCGUAGAUAUCUGGAGGAACACCGGUGGCGAAGGCGGCAUCCUGGACCGGCAUUGACGCUGAGGCGCGAAAGCCAGGGGAGCAAAGCGGG